CAGCAGCCGCGGGAAUACGUAGGUGGCAAGCGUUGUCCGGAAUUAUUGGGCGUAAAGGGCUCGCAGGCGGUCUCUUAAGUCUGAUGUGAAAGCCCCCGGCUCAACCGGGGAGGGUCAUUGGAAACUGGGAAACUUGAGUGCAGAAGAGGAGAGUGGAAUUCCACGUGUAGCGGUGAAAUGCGUAGAGAUGUGGAGGAACACCAGUGGCGAAGGCGACUCUCUGGUCUGUAACUGACGCUGAGGAGCGAAAGCGUGGGGAGCGAACAGGAUUAGAGACCCCAGUAGUCCCUGUCUCUUAUAC
rnacentral:rRNA from 1 species